rnacentral:rRNA from 1 species
AGUUUUCGGACAAUGGAUGUAGAGGAAAGUGGCGGACGGGUGAGUAACGCGUGAGGAACCUGCCUUGAAGAGGGGGACAACAGUUGGAAACGACUGCUAAUACCGCAUGACGCAUAGAGGUCGCAUGAUCUUUAUGCCAAAGAUUUAUCGCUUCAAGAUGGCCUCGCGUCUGAUUAGCUGGUUGGCGGGGUAACGGCCCACCAAGGCGACGAUCAGUAGGGGUUCUGAGAGGAAGGUCCCCACAUUGGAACUGAGACACGGUCCAUACUCC